ACCUGGCUGGCUCAGUGGCAAGAGCACGUAACUCUUGAUCUCAGGGUCAUGAGUUCAAGCCCCAUGCUGGGUA
rnacentral:tRNA from 1 species